GACGAACGCUGGCGGCGUGCUUAACACAUGCAAGUCGAACGGAAAGGCCCUGCUUUUGUGGGGUGCUCGAGUGGCGAUCGGGUGAGUAACACGUGAGUAACCUGCCCUUGACUUUGGGAUAACUUCAGGAAACUGGGGCUAAUACCGGAUAGGAGCUCCUGCUGCAUGGUGGGGGUUGGAAAGUUUCGGCGGUUGGGGAUGGACUCGCGGCUUAUCAGCUUGUUGGUGGGGUAGUGGCUUGCCAAGGCUUUGACGGGUAGCCGGCCUGAGAGGGUGACCGGCCACAUUGGGACUGAGAUACGGCCCAGACUCCUACGGGAGGCAGCAGUGGGGAAUAUUGCACAAUGGGCGGAAGCCUGAUGCAGCAACGCCGCGUGCGGGAUGACGGCCUUCGGGUUGUAAACCGCUUUCGCCUGUGACGAAGCGUGAGUGACGGUAAUGGGUAAAGAAGCACCGGCUAACUACGUG
rnacentral:rRNA from 1 species